UCAUAAAGAAUCUUAAGUCUGUUUUUACUCCUAAGUGCAAAACUAGGUGAAAAGUGCGUUUCAAGAAAAAUCUUAAUGCGCACUAUGUGUGAAAUUAAGACUAAAAUUAGGACUAUUCCUAGGGGUGCCUCAGGGCACCCCUAACUUUUAUCUUUUGUCUUAAGACAAAAACUACGUGCAAAAAUAAAAUGGCGGCGCCCAUGUAUCUUGCGCUUUUCAGUGAUUUUCCGCUAUUAAAUUACGAAAAAUUUAGCGCAACUGAUACGUGAUUUUGUAACACACCUUCCAGUACUGUGAAUUUAUUGGUGACGCAAUAUAAGCUACAUCGUCCAAUCAAAGACUAUUUUAGAAUGCGUCGGAGGAAGUGUUGUUUAUCGGCAGCGUCAAACAAAAUGUACAUAAUUAUAGAUCUAUUCAGUUUCAACGCUGGACAUUUAUCAAAUUACAUCUUGAGAUACAGAAGGCAGGGCAAGAAAUGGCUGUCCACACUCUGGAAAAGAAAUGAGCAUGCAUUGAUGGAACAUUAUUUACUAUGAUUUAGUUCCCAGAUAAAGAAGGCAGGGCAAGAAAUGGCUGUCCACACUCUGAACAAAAAAUGAGCAUGCUUUGAUGGAACAUCAUUUAGUUCCCAGCAGACUUCAGAUAGAAGUUCUUUCCAGAUGUAAAGUGAAUUGAUGAAAUCUUGAAAAAGUGUUGGUGUUGUCCAGAUAUAAAAAAAUGAGCAGCUGCCAGAUGAAUGUACUUUCGAGAUGUAAACCAUCACAAAUGAUGCCUGUUUGUAUUUACCAGUGUUCAAAAAGUGAUCAAAUUUGAUGUGGGAUGUUUCAAAACAAAUCUUCAAAUUGACAAUGGCAAAAAGUGGAAAUGGAAUACUCAGUUGAUGAAAAUGGU